rnacentral:rRNA from 1 species
CGUAGGUGGCAAGCGUUGUCCGGAUUUACUGGGCGUAAAGAGCGCGCAGGCGGUCGAUUUAGUCGUGUGUGAAAGCCCCCGGCUCAACUGGGGAGGGUCACGCGAUACUGAUCGACUCGAAGGCAGGAGAGGGAAGUGGAAUUCCCGGUGUAGUGGUGAAAUGCGUAGAUAUCGGGAGGAACACCAGUGGCGAAGGCGACUUCCUGGCCUGUUCUUGACGCUGAGGCGCGAAAGCUAGGGGAGCAAACGGGAUUAGAUACCCCGGUAGUCCUAGCCGUAAACGAUGGACACUAGGUGUUGGUGGUAUCAACCCCGCCAGUGCCGAAGCUAACGCAUUAAGUGUCCCGCCUGGGGAGUACGGCCGCAAGGCUAA